CUUAUCUCUCAUUGGUUAGUUUUUUUUUUCAAAGAUCCAAUUUUUAGCCAUUGAUGAAAUGUAAUCUAAUGGCCACAAUUAAAUCUCUUUCUUUCUCCCCUAAUCUUUUUCAUUUAUCUUCUCCUAUACAAAAACAAGAAACCCUUCGCUGACCCACAAACAAAAAUUUAAAAAAAAAUAAAAAACCUAUACGACUUUUUCUCCUUCAAAGAUCAGUCCUUCUCUCCAGAUCCCUUCUCUUCAAGAUGAGCGACGACUUUUCUCCUUCUUCACCACUCCCGACGAUUCCGACUUCUCCUCCGCCACGGAUACUCCCUCCACGCUGAUGGCUCCGCUUCUCUGCCGGGAUCUUCAAGGUUACGAUUAGAUGCCUGAAACGAGACAGAGGUGAUGUGUGUUGCGGAGAUGAAAGAGGAAGAAGAGGAUGCGGCAAGGUGGAUGGGACGAGCUUGCGGUGAUGGAUGCGGCGGAGACGAUGACUCGUCAGAUCUGAAGAAGCUGUAGUGUGAAGAUGGAAGAAGUUAGCCGUGGUGGUGGAGCCGAGCAAGAAGAAGAAGAGAGAGGUGGCGGCUCUAUUAGGUUUAGACAUUUUAGGUUUAGUUUUUUUUUUUUUGGUUUAGCUUGGUUUAGUUUUUUUUGGUUAGCUUGGUUUAGUUUGUAUACCGGUCUAUAAAUAUGUAACUAAUUUUGAUAUUUAAAGUUUUUAAAAUAUUUUUAUUUUUA